CAGUCGUGUGGUGAGCGCAUAGCGAACUAUUCUUUCGCCUUUUACUAAAGAAUACCGUGCGUUCGUCACUGUUCAGCGACAUAUCAUAAUUUUUGAAGGAUCCUUCAGUAUAU
rnacentral:snRNA from 1 species